rnacentral:rRNA from 1 species
GUGCCUAAUACAUGCAAGUCGAGCGCAUGUAGCUCACGGAACUCUUCGGAGGGAAGUGAAGGGAAUGAGCGGCGGACGGGUGAGUAACACGUAAGGAACCUGCCCCAAGGAUUGGGAUAACUCCGAGAAAUCGGAGCUAAUACCGAAUAGUUCUUCAGACCGCAUGGUCUGAUGAUGAAAGGCGCUCCGGCGUCACCUUGGGAUGGCCUUGCGGUGCAUUAGCUAGUUGGUGGGGUAAUGGCCCACCAAGGCGACGAUGCAUAGCCGACCUGAGAGGGUGAUCGGCCACACUGGGACUGAGACACGGCCCAGACUCCUACGGGAGGCAGCAGUAGGGAAUCUUCCACAAUGGACGAAAGUCUGAUGGAGCAACGCCGCGUGAGUGAUGAAGGUUUUCGGAUCGUAAAACUCUGUUGUAAGGGAAGAACAAGUACGAGAGGGAAUGCUCGUACCUUGACGGUACCUUGCGAGAAAGCCACGGCUAACUACGUGCCAGCAGCCGCGGUAAUACGUAGGUGGCAAGCGUUGUCCGGAAUUAUUGGGCGUAAAGCGCGCGCAGGCGGCCUUUUAAGUCUGAUGUGAAAGCCCCCGGCUCAACCGGGGAGGGUCAUUGGAAACUGGAAGGCUUGAGUAC